CCAAGGCGGCUGGUGGCAGGCAGCAGGAGAUGCCACAUCGCCUCUGGUUUUCCCCCUGCUCUGGUCAACUUUGCCAGAGGCUGCUCUCAGGGCAAGCCCUGCCCCUGGCCACCCCCAUCCAUCAGCUGGUGUCAGAGAUGGACAGAGGCAGCGCUGCCUAGUCCCAUCCCCCCUCCGGGUUUUUUUUCCCCUCCUUCCUCCCAGCCCCCUCUGUUUGCUUCUCCUCCUCCCCCUGCCUUGUGACACGGAGAGGGAGAGGGAGAGAGAAGGGUUCUUCCCUGGCAGCUCCUCUCUGCCGCCGCUGCAGUCAUGGCUGCGGAGGGGGUGGAGGAGGGGUCCCCGCUGCUCUCGGCGCCCAGCUCCGGCAGCGUCACCCCGACCGCGCCUCCCUAUCUGCCCGACGGCAGCCCCCGAGAAUUGCGGAAAAGCUGCGGAACAACAGCAGAACUCCCACCUCCAUAUACCGCCAUUGCCAGUCCAGAUGCCAGUGGUGUUCCUGUAAUAAACUGCCGUGUGUGCCAGUCUCUAAUCAAUUUGGAUGGCAAGCUUCACCAGCAUGUUGUUAAGUGCACAGUUUGCAAUGAAGCUACGCCAAUCAAAAACCCUCCUUCAGGGAAGAAGUAUGUUAGAUGUCCAUGUAAUUGUCUCCUAAUCUGUAAGGAUACAUCUCGAAGAAUAGGCUGUCCAAGACCCAACUGUAGACGCAUCAUUAAUCUUGGUCCAGUGAUGCUGAUUCCAGAAGAACAGCCAGCUCAACCUGCCUUGUCUGUUCAGCCAGAUGGUACUAGGGUAGUGUGUGGACACUGUGGAAAUACAUUUUUGUGGAUGGAACUGAGGUUUAACACUCUGGCAAAAUGCCCGCACUGCAAAAAAAUGGGCCCUGUGGGCUGGAUAGAAUGUCCCGGCGGGCCGCAUCCAGCCCGUGAGCCAUAUUUUGUCCACCCCUGGACUAGAUGAUCUCUGGAGGUCCCUUUUAGCCCUACUUCUCUAUGACUCUGACACCAUUAAGCAACAAGGAGGGGGGCUUAAACAUGCAGACUUCAGUCUUGAGGAGAGGAUAUGUGAGAAGGUACUUAGUCUUCAGGAGCCUGAAACCCAGUGGCAAGUGGCUAGCUGCUAAUAGUCUGCUCGGCCAGAAGGAUGCGAGCCAGCUCUGAUGGAUGACUAGUAAAUGGGAGUGAAGCCACAAAGAAGCUCAAUAUCUCCAGGAGCAGGGAACAAGGGGUGAGAAGAGAGGAGGCUGUGAUGCUGAGGGAGAAGCAUGGAGUCUGGGUUGUCCCUGUCAAGGUCUGAAGAAAGACAGCAGGUUUUGGUUUUGUUGAUUGUUUGCAGGCUUGUUUGUUUUGUUACUUUUGUUGAGUCAUGGAAAUAGGGGUGGGUGAGAGUGGUGUCCAGGGCAGGUGCCCAGUUAGGAGGGGCACCAUAAGGGCACCCAGUCCCCGUGAAGUCUGCCCUGAUAGCAUUCCCAUGCUGGGAACUCCAAAACAGUCUCUGGCUGCUGCCGCUUUUAAGAGCAACAGCCAGGGUGGGCAGAGCACGGGCACUGGCAAAAGCAGUGCUCAUUCCUGCUGUUGGAUCCUAUGACCUGCUCCCGCAUCCCAUUCCUUCCCUUCCUCUUGGACCCUGUACCCUCCCCGCUUGCUCUCGAAACCACGUGCCUCCCCCCACCUCUCUUCCGCAGGGUUUGUCCCAGGCAGCAGCUCGUGUUGUUAUGCCACUGGUUUUAUUUACUGGGGACAAGUUCACCCCAUAUAAAAUAAAUUGGCUGGAAACCCCAAGCACAGAGCUGAUUGACCUUAAUAAGGAAAGUGCAAGUGACUUGCUUACAGGCUCAAUACUGAUGUUUCUUUUGAGAAGGACAAACUUCCAGGUAUGCUGAGACAAGCAGUUAUUAAAUGUUUGCUCAAGAAGUCCUUUUUUGUCAAGAGUUUAAUAUGGUUUAUUGUAGACAUCUCUAAGAAAAUGGUGGUGGGUCAACUUAAUUCCUCAGGGUAUAUUGGUCCCUAUGGCAGUGUCCACACAAGCGCAGACAUUUAUUCCCCAGGGACAAGUAGCAAUGACGCACCUUGUGUUGCUGUGAUUUGUCCCUGAGGAGUGCCCAUACCAUGCACCCUCUGGCACAUGGCAGGUUACCCCGGGUGGGGUAGGGGAGGCUGGGGCCAGCAACUACGCUAGCCCCAGCAGUCUUACCUGGGGUCCCAGGGGCCUCAGGGUGCUGCAGCUGCAGCACUUUUCCUGCAGCUAGGAGCUUGGCCAACAGCUGAAACAAGCAUGGCUCCAGCCAGCAAGGCUCUGGUUUUGGAUGGUGCAUGCUCCCACCAUGUGUGCCACCCUGCUUUUUUUGGCAUGGGUGUUUUUUGACCCCGGGAUCUCCUGGGGUCAGAAAACAUCCCCAUGUUGCAAGGCAGAAUGAGGAAGACCUGCAUGUGCGGUGUGGUGCUACAAAUGGGUCUGCAGUGCCACAUACUGCAUGUCUGUGCUCAUCUGGACACAGCGUAUGAGACUGGCUCCAGCCAUUGGUACAGCCAAAAAACAGUUAAGGCACUGUUGGUGUUUAGUGUUCCUUUGGCAGUAGGUAAAGUUUCUCUUAUGAUUUUUUUUUUAAUGGGAUCUCUCAGCCAUCUGCCAGACAGUAAUGCUGGCUCACUUCAAAGUCUAGUGAAGAUGGAAGUGGCUCCCCACCUUUUCAUUUAUUUGCAUUGAAUUUGAAUUAGUUUGGCUCACUGGCUCAUGUGUAACCUUAUUGUUUAAAACACGGGUAUUAAAACAUUAAGGGACAGCAAAUGAAGUUUGUAAUGUGCUGGAUAACUUUUUAAAUCUAGGAUCCAGUGGCUCUGAUGGUAAUAAUACUUGCUAAACUAAAAAUGAAAUGUGGAUAGUCAAUCAGACCAAGUUGUAGAACUAAAAAAUCAGAGUACUUUUCAUGGUACUAAACACACUUGCCCUGCCACCCUGUUGGGGGAAGUUAAAGACCAAACUAGUAGAACCAACCUGGUGCCUUUACAAACUUUGUACAAAAAGCUGUUCUGGUUAUACUCUUUGCAAUAUUUCAGGUGCUGCUUCAAAAUUUUGAGGUUGCUAUCCUAAACUCGCGUUUAAUAAAAUGUUCUACCUUAAAUUGUUCUGGUCUGUGCUGGGCUGGGCUGACAGUUGUGCUUACUGCCAUUUGCCCCUCACUCCAAAAGUUGCCAUGUAGCAAUAGGGCAAUUAAUAGAGAUACUUUCUCUUCUGUUGACUACAUAACUUAAAAGCAGCAGAGAAAUGGCAAUGGAUUAAGAAUACUUAAAGUAGAACAGGGGGAUGGAAGAAUACUUAAGCAUCCAUGCAAAAGAUUGUGAUUUGGGCUGGUUAUACUUUUGGUGUUAGGUCUCCUGGCUCUCCUAAUACCCAAAACAAAUAUAACUAAAAGUAUUAGUUUUGUGGAGAAGUUGCAUAUCCUUCUAUAACACGGGUGGGCAAAAUGCGGCCUGUAGGCCAGAUGCAGCCCACCAGGCUGUUCUAUCCAGCCUGUGGGGCCCUUAAAAAAUUUAGAAAAUUAAUAUUUAUCUGCCCCUGACUGCCUGUCAUAUGGCCCUCAAUGGCUUGCCAAAACUUAGUAAGUGGCCCUCCACCCAAAAUAAUUGCCUGUCCCGGUCUAUAAGUUUCAGUAGUUAGCUGUUAGUUGGUCCCAUCCAAUCUGAUUAUGAGGAUGGUCAGUCAUUGGAACAGGCUACAUAAGGUAUCUCCAUUCUUGAAAAUUUCCAAGAGCGGGCUGGACAGACACUCGGCUGGAAUGGUUUUUAGUCAGGGAUGAUCCUGCCUUGAGCAGGGGCUGGAUGAGAUCACCUCGUGACGUCUCUUUCAGCCCUACUUUCCUGUGAUCCCAUGAUUCUUUCUAUUUUGCUUCUGCAACUUUUAUUAGGCAAUUUUAGAAAGGAAUUGCAAGAGCAGUGCUCUAGUCAGAUUUAUUUAGGUUGGUAGGUUUGAAGACAAGGUGCCUUCCUCAAAGUGUUUGUAGUGCAGCUUUCAAAGGAUUUGUUUACUUUGCUCACUGAUGGUGAUUUGUGCAGUUAAUUUGUAGUAUAUCUCAACUGGAAACCUGGAAAUGAUUAUGAUUCACCUAGCUACUUGAAAUGGACUUAAAGGUUAGUGUUCACAAGCGUAAUUCCCCUUUUUAUAUAAGUAAAUAUUUUCAUGUUUCAUGACUAGUAGAACAACUUCAACACUUUCAAGCUUUUUAGGAAGAAAUCACACAGAGUUCUUUUGACAGUGGAGACAUUCUUUCAGGAAACUGUCUUUGUAAAUAAUCACUUUAGGAGAUGGUAGAGUUUAAAGACUUAUCAUGCUUUGAAGAUAAAAUAUGAUUUGUAGUUGAGUUAUUUUAGUCUUUUAAUAAUAGAUUUAGAACAUCUAAAAUAAUCUAUUUUGUUGUCUCGCAAAUCAUGCUGAAGCCUUGAGCCAAAGCAUUUUUUUCAUGGAAUCAGAAAGACUGUUCAAGACUUAUUUGGUAGCACACCAAAAUAUUUUCUUCUUAAUUUAGGUAACCUUAUUUUAAACUGAAUUUAAUUACCUAUGCUAGGAUAAACUUUAGAAUUGGAGAUAGGAAAUAGUUAAGUGAUAUGAGAUGGGGUGAAGGAGUUGGGAUUCCUGGGUUUUACUCCUGCUUCUGCCCCUAACUCCCUAUGUUAUUUCUCUUUCUACAAAUAUUUCUUUGCCUUGGAUACUCAUGGUUAUUCCACGUCAGACUUUUAAAAGUACCAUAGUUGCACAUAGUAAUGGCAGGAUAACUCUAAAUGUCUCUUAGUGCAGACCUUAAAUUGGGUAUUCCCACCCAUAGCUUAUGGGCAACAUGCCUGUAAGACCCUCUAUUGUUCACUGUUCCAAAGGAUUAAAAAAUUAAAUUUAACUUGAUGGGAAAAUUAAAGUCUGAUGUUGCCUGCAGCACAUUAUUUGUUCUGUAUUGUUGCUCAGUGAAGGUUUGGGGACCACUGCCGAAGAGGAAAUGUUUUGCAAUCUCAUUCCCUAGAAUUUGUACCCUCUGUACCAGCUAACCACCUUACAGGACAAUUGCAUCCUUGUAACCUAGAAGUAGUGAAGAAUUAAUUUUGAAAUCUGUUAUUCCCCCUUGCUAAUAAGUGAGAAUCUCAUCCACUCCUGGUAAAUAACUAAACUCUCAUAUCUAUUACAAUCUCUGCUUUGACUGAACCAGACAUGAUGAAGGAAGAACAUAUUUGGGGUAUGUUUAUACAGCACAAAGAAGAGUCAGGCUGAGAUGCUCUGCACCUAAUACUUACCAAACAUCAAGGCCAGUUCCUCUGUUGGAAGUGCACUACCAAGAAGGCGCUGCUGUGCAUACAUUACUAUUGGAAUGAUAUGCAUUUUCAUUGGAGUUGGACUAACCGU